CGCCCGCCCUGCAGCCACUGGACCACCAGGGAGAGAGACCCCCCCCAGCACUCCCAAAGGUAAGGAGGUUGGGGGGGGAAUUUAAAUUAAAAAAAAGUUAAUGUGUGUGUGUGUUUGUGUCUGACUGUGUGUGUGUUUGUGUCUGACUGUGUGUGUUUGUGAGUGUGUGUUUGUGUCUGUGUAUGUGUCUGACUGUGUGUGUGUGUUUGUGUCUGACUGUGUUUGUGUCUGUGUAUGUGUCUGACUGUGUGUGUGUAUGUGACUGUGUUUGUGUCUGACUGUGUGUGUGUGUUU